AACUCGCCCACGGACCUACCUCUCGCAGGAAAAAUUUGUGGAAGGAAUCAGCAAAGAAAUGGCUUGUGCUGUAGCCGGGCGUAGUGGUGCACACCUGUAAUCUCAGCACUCAGGAGGCUGAGGCAGGAGGAUCACCGUGAGUUCUCGGCCAGCCUGGGCUACAACAGUGAGACCCUGUCUCAAAAAACCAAGACAAAAAGAAAAAAAGAAAAGAAAAGAAAUGGCUUGUCCCAGUGGGUCCCUGCAUGACCUCCAAGUUCCCUUUUACCUCUCAACCCUAACACUUGACGUUCACGGGAAGAGGGCCAUCCCAACCGGCCCCUGGGAAUCCCUGUGCCUUCCUGCUGUCCAGCCAGCUCCCACCACCCAGGGCCAGCAGGAGGAGCUGCUAGGAGCUUGGGGAGGCAUUGAUGUUUUAAUGACAAGAUCUGGAGCUGUGGCUGCAGGCGAUCGAGUUCAGGGACACUCGUCAAGCCACGGCCUGACUGCCAGGCCCUGCUGAGGCCCUGCCACUUCCUCCCGGCUCCUCUCUCUGGACCUCAGCGGAAGCAUCGCUCAGGACCCCUGGGCCCACCAGAGCCCUGCCAGGAGCCAGCGCCUCCGUCUCAGGUCCGCGCCAUUCCCCAGGGCCCCACCCCUUCCUGGUCUGUCACUGCUGCCCCUACCUUGGCCCCUCCUCCAGCUCAGUCCUCUACUCCGCCCCCUCAGCAGUCCCACCGUCCUGCACAGCCCCUUGAUCACUUUGACCCCGGCCUGCCCCAAAACCUUCAAGGGGCCGCUGCCUGCCUCCUGAGGUCUUGAGAUUGAACCCCUCGAACCAAAAAACAAAGCAAAACCUUUAAGAGAGCCUGGUGUGUCGCCACACAGUACCCCAGUAAGCUGAGGCAGGAGAAUCUCAAGUGCGUUGGAGGCCAGUUUGGGCCACAUAACAAGUUCAAGGCCACCCUGAGCUAUACGCUGAGGUCUUUCUGCUUUGGGUUUUUGGGGUUUUUUUUUUUGGCUUUUUGAGAUGGGAUCUUGCUUUGCUGUGCUGGCUGCCCUCGAACUCUCGGGGAUCCUCCGGCCUCGGCCUCCUGGGUGCCGGGGUUAGGGAUCUUGUCUCAAAAAUAAAUAAAUAAAACAAAUUAAAUAAAAACAAGCCCACGAGGGCCUGGAGCAAUGUGGCUUGGACGAAAAUCUGAAUCAUAGUCGAGGAGGCAGCCAGAUUCCUAUCUGGGAAAUCAGGGCAGCGCGAAGGGCGAGGCCACGCGGUAAAUAGAAUGAGUAAUAAGGUCAGAAGCUGGUGGGGACCGGGAUCACGUCUGGAUGCGGCGGAGGAAGCGGAAACGGUCCAGGCGCGGGCUGUGAAUGGAAUGAAAAAC
rnacentral:lncRNA from 1 species